CCCCCACCAAGGUGCUGGACUGGGUUCUUCAAGGGGCCACCUGAAGCAGGACUUUUUCCCACACUGAAGUCACCAACUGACAGCAGAAACAGGUCCCCCAUCUUUGGGAUAUCUCCCAGGUCUGCUCCCAGUAGAAUGUCUAAGAAAUCUUUGAUGACCAGUGCAAUCUGUGGAGGUUAUACACUUGGAGGAAGGGACAGCACACGCUGAUAGUUUGCAGUGGUGGGAAGACCAUCUGAUCCAGAGGCAGGAAGACAAGUAAAAUGACUUCUUAGAGCCCCUUCCUGCUUUCCCAGCUCCCCUCCCCCGUCUCAAGCAUCUGAUCCCAGACCUAUUUCAGAAUCUCCUAUCUUUUUGCUCAGUGGAAGCAGUGAUAUGACAUGAUGUGAUCUCAUUUGAGAGCUAAAUAAAGCCGUUGUGUGAGACCCAGCCCUGGCCUCUCCCAUGCACCAUUUCCUGAGCUCAAGAGGCUAAGGGAAAAUGGGAGGGGGGCUAGGAGAGUUAAUCUAAUGGAAAAAGAAGCAACACGAUGAUGGGAGCCCCAGUUUGAAUUUCAGACAGUGGAGGAGGGAAUAUUGCUAGGAGGGAGUUGAGGAAGCCUUGCUAAACUUCAUCUCUUUGAGGGACAGAAUAAAAAGUAUUGGCAUCAUAGCAUAGCCAUUUGGAAACAAGUUCUAGGGUGGGUUGGGAAAUCUCCAGGAGCCCUGACCUCAUCUUCCACCUCAGCAACCAUGACCUGAAACCUCAGCGUGAAUUUGGGGGAUUUUUCAGUGGAACCCCUGCCCCCAAAUGUCGACCAGCCCCAGUUUUUUUUUUUCUUGACAAUUUUGUUGUUUAAAAAAAAAAUUCAGGGAAAAUUAAAAACCUGGAACUCC
rnacentral:sRNA from 1 species